UACGGAGGGAGCUAGCGUUAUUCGGAAUUACUGGGCGUAAAGCGCACGUAGGCGGCUUUGUAAGUUAGAGGUGAAAGCCCGGGGCUCAACUCCGGAAUUGCCUUUAAGACUGCAUCGCUAGAAUUGUGGAGAGGUAAGUGGAAUUCCGAGUGUAGAGGUGAAAUUCGUAGAUAUUCGGAAGAACACCAGUGGCGAAGGCGACUUACUGGACACAUAUUGACGCUGAGGUGCGAAAAGCGUGGGGGAGCAAACAGG
rnacentral:rRNA from 1 species